CUUUAAUAGAUGUUUUAGCAUGGUUUUUUUUCAAUAAAUUAGGGUAUUUAUACAUUAAAGU
rnacentral:tRNA from 1 species